rnacentral:piRNA from 1 species
UCCCAGCGGAAGCAGAGAAUCUGGAUUCA